rnacentral:rRNA from 1 species
GACGAACGCUGGCGGCGUGCUUAACACAUGCAAGUCGAACGGAAAGGCCCUGCUUUUGUGGGGUGCUCGAGUGGCGAAAGGGUGAGUAACACGUGAGUAACCUGCCCUUGACUUUGGGAUAACUUCCGGAAACUGGGGCUAAUACCGGAUAGGAGCUCCUGCUGCAUGGUGGGGGUUGGAAAGUUUCGGCGGUUGGGGAUGGACUCGCGGCUUAUCAGCUUGUUGGUGGGGUAGUGGCUUACCAAGGCUUUGACGGGUAGCCGGCCUGAGAGGGUGACCGGCCACAUUGGGACUGAGAUACGGCCCAGACUCCUACGGGAGGCAGCAGUGGGGAAUAUUGCACAAUGGGCGGAAGCCUGAUGCAGCAACGCCGCGUGCGGGAUGACGGCCUUCGGGUUGUAAACCGCUUUCGCCUGUGACGAAGCGUGAGUGACGGUAAUGGGUAAAGAAGCACCGGCUAACUACGUG